AACCUUAUGGACCUGCGGGCGUAUACCUGCGGAAGGAUCAUUACCGAGUUUACAAACUCCCAACCCUAUGUGAACCUUACCAAUCGUUGCUUCGGCGGGCUUAGCCCCCGCGCCCUCGCCGGCGCCGGGAGAAAGGCGCCCGCCGGGGACCCCAAACCCAAUGUUUUUCAUGCAGUAUUUCUGAGUGGCAAACGCAAAAAUAAAUCAAAACUUUUAACAACGGAUCUCAGAUCGGAAGAG
rnacentral:misc_RNA from 1 species